rnacentral:rRNA from 1 species
CCUACGGGAGGCAGCAGUGAGGAAUAUUGGUCAAUGGACGAGAGUCUGAACCAGCCAAGUAGCGUGAAGGAUGACUGCCCUAUGGGUUGUAAACUUCUUUUAUAAAGGAAUAAAACGACGCACGUGUGCCUUUUUGCAUGUACUUUAUGAAUAAGGAUCGGCUAACUCCGUGCCAGCAGCCGCGGUAAUACGGAGGAUACGAGCGUUAUCCGGAUUUAUUGGGUUUAAAGGGAGCGUAGAUGGGUUGUUAAGUCAGUUGUGAAAGUUUGCGGCUCAACCGUAAAAUUGCAAUUGAUACUGGCAGUCGUGAGUACAGUUGAGGUAGGCGGAAUUCGUGGUGUAGCGGUGAAAUGCUUAGAUAUAACGAAGAACCCCGAUUGCGAAGGCAGCUUACUAAACUGUGACUGACAUUGAGGCUCGAAAGUGUGGGUAUCAAACAGGAUUAGAUACCCUGGUAGUC